rnacentral:rRNA from 1 species
CUACGGGGGGCUGCAGUGGGGAAUAUUGGACAAUGGGCGAAAGCCUGAUCCAGCCAUGCCGCGUGUGUGAAGAAGGCCUUCGGGUUGUAAAGCACUUUCAGUGGGGAAGAAAGCCUUGGGGCUAAUACCCUCGAGGAAGGACAUCACCCACAGAAGAAGCACCGGCUAACUCCGUGCCAGCAGCCGCGGUAAUACGGAGGGUGCGAGCGUUAAUCGGAAUUACUGGGCGUAAAGCGCGCGUAGGCGGUCUGAUAAGCCGGUUGUGAAAGCCCCGGGCUCAACCUGGGAACGGCAUCCGGAACUGUCAGGCUAGAGUGCAGGAGAGGAAGGUAGAAUUCCCGGUGUAGCGGUGAAAUGCGUAGAGAUCGGGAGGAAUACCAGUGGCGAAGGCGGCCUUCUGGACUGACACUGACGCUGAGGUGCGAAAGCGUGGGUAGCAAACAGGAUUAGAUACCCCUGUAGAC